UUUGACUGCAUGUUGCUACUUUUUUACUUUUGUAAUUACUGAAGUUCUGCUUUCUACAAUGUAUCCAUGAACCUUCCUUGACACACAUAUAGGGGUUAUCAAGUAUGUAAAAAGCAAACAAACAAAGAGCAAAACCAAAACAGAAGCAAGAAAUAGUUUCUAAUACUUUGUGAGAAUUAUGGUGGUUAUCAUUUGGAGGGCAGGGUGGUGGGUGUGGUAUUAUACCCUGAAAUCUUACAAUCUUGCCAAUCCCUACUAACCACAAAUAAAAAAUAAGAAUGAGUUGAAGAAAAACAAAAAAGAAAAGAAAAGAAAGAA